AUGAGAAAAGGAAGAGUAACUUUACAGCAUAAAGGGAGAAGGUUUCUCAUGAGAGAAGCUCACAGAAAACUAAAACAACCAUGGGCAAAAUGGCAACUACUCUUUUUCUGGAAAGAAAAAAAAUUAAAAACAGACAUCAAAAAGACGGCAGGAAGGAUGGGAGUGAGGAGAGAUGAGUUCAAGUUGAGCAGAAGAAAAAAGAAAACUACAACAAAACAUUCAGAACUAAGCAUGGUUAAAAACUAA
rnacentral:lncRNA from 1 species